rnacentral:lncRNA from 1 species
CGUAACGGACGGAGCGCGUGGAAAUCGGUGUCGCUCGUCUCGCGGCGAGACUCCGCUCGCGCCACAGCGCCGUUCGGCUGACUCGCGUCCCCCCUUUUUUCCUCCCCCCCUCCGGAAAAAAAAAAAAAAAAAAAACUGGGCGCAGGAGUCCCUUCGCCGGUUUACUCCUCGCCCGGGUACACCGUUUUGUGCGGUCGUUUCUCUUUUUUUGUUCGCACCAGUAGAAAAUGUCGCGUUCAAGUGUUUUCAGCCCUUUGUAUAGGAGGAGAGGUACGUGCUGCUCUCAGCAAGCAGCGCUCGCUCGGUCUUCUUCCCGUCGUCGUUCUGCGCGACCGUGUGUGUCUCGCUAACCCCCUGUUUUUCCCACAAUUAUCAGUCAAGGGCCCAAUAAAAUAAAUAGAAUGGCAGAAACGGACCUCUUUGCCAUAAUCCCUAUAUCCUGCACAGAUAUAUAACUAAAUUAUUUGAACGAAACGUAAACUGGCAUGUGUGUGGAUUGAACCGCGCUGCGGGCGCCUGCUCCAGCCACGCUGGCGUCCUCUGUGGCGGUCGGUGUACCAAAUCGAGUCCCCGGAUGCAGGGAGAAGUAGGGCCGAACGCAGAGCUUCAGCCUGUUCGGGGGCCGCCGAGAAGGAUGCAAAAGCUGCUGCUACCAACCAAUCAACUAGCACGUGAACGAUCAACAAUAACCUCGCGUAUGCAAAAUUAUAAACAUCAAGGUCAUGGGAACUAGAGCCUACCCAGCAACUCAGGGCAUAAGGCCAGAGAGGGAGGGGACACACCCAGGACAGGAUGCCAGUCCACCCCAAGCAGGACUCAAACCCCAGACCCACCAGAGAGGAGAACCUGGCCCAACCCACUGCACCACCGCACCCCCUAAGGCCUGAGAACAUCGAUUUAUAAACUAACCUGUAAGUUUGCACUGCAGUUUUUAAAUCACGUGUGAGUUUAACCAAGGCUUUGAGGAUUUGCCCAACAUAUGUCCUAAUUUUUUGCGUAUGAUCACAAUAUUAGAGUGAAAAUAAAUGAAGCAGCAAAUAACUGGAAAUAAACGAA